CAGAUCUGAGCUCUCGGCCCAGGACAGGAGAGUUGGGCAAAGGGGGCCAUUGGCCCUUGGCUGGGCGAUGGCUAGAGAGAUGGGGCCCAGAACUAUAGGCAAAGACAUUUGGAGAGCUGGGUGGAUCCUCUGAAGGGAAAUGGAGGCUCAGAGAAGCCUAGCCCUUGUUGUGAGUUGGGCCCUUUAACAUUCCUACCCCCCUCUCUCUCUCUCUCUCUCUCUCUCUCUCUCUCUCUCUCUCGCUCUCUCUCUCUCUUUUUUUUUGUACUGGGGAUUAAACCCCAGAGAGCCUUACCACUGAGCUACAUCCCCAGCCCUUUGUAUUUUUUAUUUUGAGACAGAAUCUUUCUUAGUUGCCAAGGCUAUCGUCAAAUUUGCAAUUCUCCUGCCUCAGCCUCCCAUAUCACUAGGAUUGCAAGUGUGUGCCACCAUGCCAGAACAUUCCCAUCUUUAUUACCCCUACUUUCAUGAUGAGGAAUCUGAGGUUCAGUGAGGUAAAGGGUCUUGGUCUGUGUCUUAGUUUGUUUCCUGUUGCUAAUAGACACAAUACAACAGACUAGGCAAAUAAUUAACAGAAGAGGUUUAUAUGUCAGGUGUGGUGGGCAGUGCCUGUAAUUCCAGUGACUAAUAGGCUGAGGCAGGAGGAUCACAAGUUCAAGGCCAGUCUGGGCAACUUAGGGAGACCUUAAGCAACUUAGCAAGAGCCUGUCCCAAAAUAAAAAUAUUUUAUUUUAUUUUAUUUAUAUUUUUUAAAGAGAGAGAGAAUUUUUUUUUUAAUAUUUAUUUUUCAGUUUUUGGCGGACACAACAUCUUUGUUUGUAUGUGGUGCUGA
rnacentral:lncRNA from 1 species